AACUCCUGCUCCAAAGAAGCCAGCAGCUGUAGUUGCUAAAAAGAGCAGCAGCUCUGAAGACUCCAGCGACUCGGAGGCCGAAGCUCAGGCUAAAACAGCAGCAAAGAAGCCUGCAGCUGUGAAACCUGCAGCAGCAGCCAGGAAGAAAGACACCAGUUCCAGCAGCGAGGAGUCCGACUCUGACGAGGAGCCGGCCAAAACUCCAGCUAGAGGAGCAAAGGCCAAGCCUGUGGCAGGGACCCCCAAACCAGCGUCCACUCCAGUGUCUGCAGCUCAGAAGAAACAGGACAGUAGCAGCAGCGAGGACAGCUCUAGUGAAUCUGAGGAUGAGGCUCCAG